rnacentral:snRNA from 1 species
AACGCCCUCGACCUAUUCUCAAA